GGUGAAGAACGUAGCGAAAUGCGAUAAGUAAUGUGAAUUGCAGAAUUCAGUGAAUCAUCGAAUCUUUGAACGCACAUUGCGCCCCCUGGUAUUCCGGGGGGCAUGCCUGUUCGAGCGUCAUUUCACCACUCAAGCCUCGCUUGGUAUUGGGCAACGCGGUCCGCCGCGUGCCUCAAAUCGACCGGCUGGGUCUUCUGUCCCCUAAGCGUUGUGGAAACUAUUCGCUAAAGGGUGUUCGGGAGGCUACGCCGUAAAACAACCCCAUUUCUAAGGUUGACCUCGGAUCAGGUAGGGAUACCCGCUGAACUUAAGCAUAUCAAUAAGCGGAGGA
rnacentral:misc_RNA from 1 species